rnacentral:rRNA from 1 species
CAGUAGCCGCGGUAAAACGGAGGGGGCUAGCGUUGUUCGGAAUUACUGGGCGUAAAGCGUACGUAGGCGGUUUUGUAAGUUAGAGGUGAAAGCCCGGAGCUCAACUCCGGAAUUGCCUUUAAGACUGCAUCACUUGAACGUCGGAGAGGUGAGUGGAAUUCCGAGUGUAGAGGUGAAAUUCGUAGAUGUUCGGAAGAACACCAGUGGCGAAGGCGGCUCACUGGACGACUGUUGACGCUGAGGUACGAAAGCGUGGGGAGCAAACAGGAUUAGAUACCCGAGUAGUCCCUGUCUCUUAUAC